rnacentral:rRNA from 1 species
UACGUAGGGUGCAAGCGUUAAUCGGAAUUACUGGGCGUAAAGCGCGCGUAGGCGGCUUUUCAAGUCGAUUGUGAAAUCCCCGGGCUUAACCUGGGAACUGCAGUCGAGACUGUCUAGCUAGAGUAUGGGAGAGGGAAGUGGAAUUUCAGGUGUAGCGGUGAAAUGCGUAGAUAUCUGAAGGAACAUCAGUGGCGAAAGCGACUUCCUGGACCAAUACUGACGCUCAUGUGCGAAAGCGUGGGGAGCAAACAGG